UACGUAGGAGGCGAGCGUUGUCCGGAGUACUGGGCGUAAAGGGUGCGUAGGCGGCCGCGCGCGUGGCGGGUGGAAAUCUCUCGGCUUACCCGGGAGGGUGCUUGCCAGACGGCGUGGCUUGAGGGACGGAGAGGGGCGUGGAAUUCCGGGUGGAGCGGUGAAAUGCGUAGAGAUCCGGAGGAACACCGACGGCGUAGGCAGCGCCCUGGCCGUUUCCUGACGCUGAUGCACGAAAGCUGGGGGAGCAAACAGG
rnacentral:rRNA from 1 species